rnacentral:rRNA from 2 species
GGGAAUUAGAGUUUGAUCCUGGCUCACAUUGAACGCUGGCGGCAGGCCUAACACAUGCAAGUCNAGCGGUAACAGGAGAAGCUUGCUUCUCGCUGACGAGCGGCGGACGGGUGAGUAAUGCGUAGGAAUCUACCCUUUUGUGGGGGAUAGCCCGGAAAAAUCCGGAUUAAUACCGCAUAANCUCUUCGGAGGAAAGUGGGGGAUCUUCAAACCUCACGCUGAAGGAUGGGCCUACGUUGGAUUAGCUUGUUGGUGGGGUAAAGGCCUACCAAGGCGACAAUCCAUAGCUGGUCNGAGAGGAUGAUCAGCCACACCGNGNCUGANACACGGCCCGGACUCCUACGGGAGGCAGCAUUGGGGAAUAUUGGACAAUGGGCCCAAGC